UUGGUUGGACGUGUAGGAAGGGUGAGGAGACCCUUCACCCGCCCCGGGGGCCAGGAACUCUGGGUGAGGAGGAAGAGAAGCCUAACACACUCUCAGAUUUCUAAAGUGCGUUUGUGAUACAGGAUGUGACAAACGCAAGUCAGUAGUUAAAGCACAUUGCAGCAAGAGCUAGAAACAUCCCAGUGAUGGCGGUGCUUCUCCAAGAGAAAGUGUUUUUUCUGCAGGAAAGACAAUAUUGAAUCUCCCGCUGUAUAUUUGCUAGCGGGGUUCACUAAGAAAUACUCUGAGAAGCACUUGUUUGAGAAGUGAAAUAGUGGGUUUACUUUCAUAGCUUCUCUAAGUUGAGAUUUUGGAAACAUUUAUGCACACACACACACACACACACACACACACACACACACACACACACACACACACACACUAAACACACACUCAUCUUUCUUUACGUGUUGGUCAGCAUCGAAAAAACAUCACAUCACUUUGCGUAAAAGUCAUGAUGUUGCAAAGUGAUCUCCAAAACCUGUUCGUAAAAAUGUAUACGACAUAUUUGACAUAGAAAUUCGUAACAAUACAUACGAACUGGCGGUGGUUAACCACGCCCCUUGAGUGAACGUCUCUCCGCCGUGUUGGAUUUUUUGAGGGGGUUAGGGUUAGUAUUCUAUUCUUACAAUUUACCAUUGAUUUCUCGUUAAAAAUGCAAUCAUAACACGUUUAUUUUACAUCGUGAGACUUCACGAAGUGUGUUUACGGGGUGCAAGUCCCCAUUCACUUUGAAUAGGGUGACGUCAUCAGUUGCAGUCCGUAUUUAUUUAGUAUCACUACGAAUUUGUAUCUUCAAGAUUUUCAUAUACAUUUUUACGAACAGGUUUUGGAGUUCAGGCUGGAUGUUGAUUUUACUAUGUUGUGCCCGGUGAACAUAAUCUAGGUCUUGUUCCACCCACUUACUCAAUUGCUAUGUCAUCAUCCCAUAUCAUUUUGAUAAAUGAUAAAUAUUCCCUAUAUUUGCAUCACCUUAAAAAAUGUUGCAGCUUCAAUGUGGAUGUCACCGAUGCUUUGUCAAAGCCUUAUGGUUCCCAUAAUGCUCCAGCAGUACAAAACAUUUACAUUAUGGACAACUAUGUUCAAACCACUGUGGACAGUGAUGGCACAUGUUCCAUGUCUCCUUAGAACCCCGGAGGUGUGUUUACAAUGUGUCUGAUGUCUCACUGCAUGUGGAUUUUUUCCCAAGUCACACUUUUAGUGAUGUCAGAACAUUCCCUACUUUCAGAAAUCACUUUAUGGAUAAGAGCGGAUGAAAUUGAUUGUUUAGAAGAACAGCGUUUUUCCUUAAAAAACAGGAUGCUUUGCAUGCAAGUUAGCUCCCACUACACAGGAAUGAUGCAUGUAAAAAAUCCACACACCGCAAAUAGAAGUGACACUACUAUCCGUACUACUACCACCACCAGUUCAGUACGCAAGAAGUACCAAAUCCGUCUCCUUUCUCCUCUCUCCGGCUCUGAUUUCUCUCCUUCCCUUCUGAAAAAAAGGUCUCAUUGUGGCGAUGUCAGCUGUCUCAAGGGCAUCCAGAACAAAGACGCUUUUCACCCCUCUGCAUAUCCUCCUCUCAUCCUUCACUCUCUCAUUCCGACUCCCCAUAUCAUGAAAAUCCUCUGGUUUGUUUUUUUCCCUGUCCUUUUUCCUUUUCUAACUCUUUGUUUUGGCAUUCUCAUGCGGGCCGUGGCAGGUUGAAGUAAAUGAGACGAGGACGGCGACACUGCUGGAAUAUUAAAAAGAAAAGAGCCGUAGCAGAGUUCCUUAAUUUUGCAUGCAGCAUAUCAGAGAUUACUCUGCUGUUGUGUGUGUGCUAUUACGUCCUGUAUGUAUCUGGCAGAGUAUGGAGGCAGGAGGAGAGGGACGUGCAAAGGCAGCAGCAGCUGGUGGAGAUACACAAUGUGGAGAGAGAGAGAGAGAGAGAGAGAGAGAGAGAGAGAGAGAGAGAGAGAGAGGACAACAGAGGAUGCCUCCUUGGCCAACUGUGUGGAAGGGGGACAGUGGAGCAUAACAAACAGGAUCCACCUUUCUGCUUGGCUAAUUUUCCCCAUUAAAACAGCCCAGCAGGAGCCUCAGCAGUCCACCAGCUGGAACAGAGGUUAUUUUAGUGCCUGUCUUUCAACGGGGGGGUUUGGUGGGGGGUCGCUUCUUGCAUCUAUUUUGGCGUGCAGGGCUGAGGUUCGGGAGGCAUGAAGAUCUUCCAUAGGAGCGGAUUCAAUUCACUGAUAUUAAUUUCCUCCUCUCCUGUCAUGCAUAAACAAAAGGAAAUCUCGGCGUCUGUCUGCAUCAUGCGUCUUCGCCCUGCUGCGCGCCGCUAUAAUGUCCUCGCCGCUGAUAUUGAUGUAUGUGCCCAUAUUUGCUCAGUCAUCUCUUUAUGUGGCAAGCCCUCCUCUCCUCUGUCUCAGUCAGAUCCUAAACUAAUCCCCAACCCUGCUACUCUGACAAGAAAAUCCCCUAUUUUAAUGCAUGCACACACACAACCCAAUCACGCACACACACUUUUCUCUUCCUUCUUUGUACCUGGAAACAGCAGCUUUUCAGUCUUUUUACUUUUUAGCAAGGCCUGCCUUGCCCGCAAGUUACCAUUUGUUAUGAAAUCUUCACAGCGUGGUGACGUUUGUGGAAACACAUAAUGUGAUAAAAUGUUUUCUUUUUGUUCACACUAGGCAGACUUUGGCAGCACGGUGUCAUUUUGUUACCGGCUGUUAGGAAAUGUUAACCCAAGUCUGCUGCCGUCCAUUUACGGCUCAUUAGAACAUAAGGUCCACCCCCAUCUCAGGAUCUCCACCCACAGCAUGAAAAGUACCUUCGCAAAGGUGCACCAUGGAGCUUUUCCAGUCUGUGGCAUCACAAGGGGACACGUGGUGGAAGCAGGCUGCUACGUUCCCAAACAGGAUCGGUUGCCACACACACUACAGCCCCCAGAAUGCCUCACAGCACAACCAGCUGUAGGUGUUUAAGCCAUUUGAUUACAGCAGGGCUCAAAAGCCAAAGCACCUGGCGGGCAAAGAGAACGACGGGAGGAGAGCGCCGAGCUGGAAGGGCCAGACCGGUGCAUUGGAGCACCCAAUGAUCUUUGGAGACGGAAGCCAGGAGAAGGACUUGUGAGGAGGGAAAAGCAAACUUUAUGUUAAUGUUUUUGAAGCUGCCAAAUGACUGAAGGCCUUAUUUAUGUUUGCCUGUUUAUUUAACGACAAUAAACCUUCUAUUUGC
ensembl:lncRNA